UCCAGACUCCUACGGGAGGCAGCAGUGGGGGAUAUUGCACAAUGGGGGGAACCCUGAUGCAGCGACGCCGCGUGGGUGAAGGAGCGUUUCGGCGCGUAAAGCCCUCUCGGCAGGGAAGAAGGAGGACGGUACCUGACUAAGAAGCCCCGGCUAACUACGUGCCAGCAGCCGCGGUAAUACGUAGGGGGCAAGCGUUAUCCGGAUUUACUGGGUGUAAAGGGGGCGCAGACGGCGAUGCAAGCCAGGAGUGAAAGCCCGGGGCCCAACCCCGGGACUGCUCUUGGAACUGCGUGGCUGGAGUGCAGGAGGGGCAGGCGGAAUUCCUGGUGUAGCGGUGAAAUGCGUAGAUAUCAGGAGGAACACCGGUGGCGAAGGCGGCCUGCUGGACUGCAACUGACGUUGAGGCCCGAAAGCGUGGGGAGCAAACAGGAUUAGAUACCCCCGUAAGG
rnacentral:rRNA from 1 species